UGCGUGCCCUAUAAAUAUGCAGAAGCUUGAAAGAAUAGGCGCCUUUUCAGCUCUAUACCGGGCUGAGUAGGUGAGAGGAAGAAGAAUUCCAUUAUUCAUUUCAUGGUCUGAAAUAAGCUGUGAUGAAGAACAAGGGAAUCAAAUGUAUAAAACCAGUAUACCGAGAAACAGGAACAAACACCUAUGAAAACUAAAUAAAAUACCAGAUGUGGA